GGGCCCGCACAAGCGGUGGAGCAUGUGGUUUAAUUCGACGCAACGCGAAGAACCUUACCUACACUUGACAUCCUCGGAACUUUCUAGAGAUAGAUUGGUGCCUUCGGGAACCGAGUGACAGGUGCUGCAUGGCUGUCGUCAGCUCGUGUCGUGAGAUGUUGGGUUAAGUCCCGUAACGAGCGCAACCCUUAUCCUUAUUUGCCAGCGGUUCGGCCGGGAACUUUAAGGAGACUGCCGAUGACAAAUCGGAGGAAGGUGGGGAUGACGUCAAAUCAUCAUGCCCCUUAUGUCUUGGGCUUCACGCAUGCUACAAUGGCCGGUACAAGAGGGCUGCAAUACCGCAAGGUGGAGCGAAUCCCAAAAAGCCGGUCUCAGUUCGGAUUGAGGUCUGCAACUCGACCUCAUG
rnacentral:rRNA from 1 species